rnacentral:rRNA from 1 species
AUUGAACGCUGGCGGCAGGCCUAACACAUGCAAGUCGAACGAGUGGCGGACGGGUGAGUAAUGUCUGGGAAACUGCCUGAUGGAGGGGGAUAACUACUGGAAACGGUAGCUAAUACCGCAUACCAUCGGAUGUGCCCAGAUGGGAUUAGCUAGUAGUGGUGGUAAAGGCUCACCUAGGCGACGAUCCCUAGCUGGUCUGAGAGGAUGACGAGCCACACUGGAACUGAGACACGGGCAAGCAUCCUAAGGGAGGCAGCAGUGGGAAAUAUUGCACAAUGGGCGCAAGCCUGAUGCAGCAAUGCCGCGUGUAUGAAGAAGGCCAUCGGGUUGUAAAGUACUUUCAGCGGGGAGGCGUUACCCGCAGAAGAAGCAACGGCUAACUCCGUGCCAGCCGCCGCGGUAAUAC